rnacentral:rRNA from 1 species
UACUCCUACGGGAGGCAGCAGUGGGGAAUAUUGCGCAAUGGGGGGAACCCUGACGCAGCCAUGCCGCGUGAAUGAAGAAGGCCUUCGGGUUGUAAAGUUCUUUCGGUAUUGAGGAAGGUUGAUGUGUUAAUAGCACAUCAAAUUGACGUUAAAUACAGAAGAAGCACCGGCUAACUCCGUGCCAGCAGCCGCGGUAAUACGGAGGGUGCGAGCGUUAAUCGGAAUAACUGGGCGUAAAGGGCACGCAGGCGGUUAUUUAAGUGAGGUGUGAAAGCCCUGGGCUUAACCUAGGAAUUGCAUUUCAGACUGGGUAACUAGAGUACUUUAGGGAGGGGUAGAAUUCCACGUGUAGCGGUGAAAUGCGUAGAGAUGUGGAGGAAUACCGAAGGCGAAGGCAGCCCCUUGGGAAUGUACUGACGCUCAUGUGCGAAAGCGUGGGGAGCAAACAGAAUUAGAUACCCUGGUAGUCCACGCUGUAAACGCUGUCGAUUUGGGGGUUGGGGUUUAACUCUGGCGCCCGUAGCUAACGUGAUAAAUCGACCGCCUGGGGAGUACGGCCGCAAGGUUAAAACUCAAAUGAAUUGACGGA